rnacentral:rRNA from 1 species
UAAAUAUUUGUAAUAAAAAUAAUUUUGAAAAAUUUUGUUUAGUAAUUUAUAGUAAAAAAAUAAUUUUAAUUAUAUGAUAUUAGUAUUGUAAAAGAAAAUUGAAAUAAUUUGAAAAAUUAAUUUAUAAAAAGAAAAUUUUAGUUAUUGUACCUUUUGUAUCAGGGUAUAUUUAAAAAAUUUUAUUGAAAUAUAAUUUUCUCGAUUUUAAAAGAGUUAAUAAAUUAGGAAAGUUACUGUAAUAAAAGUAUUUUUUAUAAUUUAUUAGAAAUGAAAUGUUAUUCGUUUUUAAUGGUAUCUAGUUUUUUUAGAAAUGAAUUUAAUUUAAAAAUUUAUAAAAAUUAUUUUAAUUUAUUAAUUUUGUUAAUUAUAAAUUUUAUUAUUAAAUGGGGUUAGCUAUUUAGUAAAUUUUUAAAAAUUAUUAAAUUUUAUUAAUAAAUAUAUGCUUAUAAUUGGCAAUUAUUAAAAAUUAUGUUAUAAUUGAUUUUAAAAAUUACAUGAUUUAAUAUAUUUUAAUUUAUUAUAAAAAUAUUUGUUUUAAUUUUAUAAAUUAAUUAAUAAUGAUAUAAUUAGUAUAUUUAUAUUUAUAAAUAAAUAUUUUAUGAAAAGUUUAUAUAAAGAAUUCGGCAAAAUUAAUGUUCACCUGUUUAACAAAAACAUGUCUUUUAGAAUUUAAUUUAAAGUCUAACCUGCCCACUGAAAUUUUGAAUGGCCGCAGUAUUUUAACUGUGCAAAGGUAGCAUAAUCAUUAGUCUUUUAAUUGGAGGCUGGAAUGAAUGGUUGGAUGAGAUAUUAACUGUUUCAUAAAAAUUUUAAAUUGAAUUUUAUUUUUUAGUUAAAAAGCUAAAAUUAAAUUAAAAGACGAGAAGACCCUAUAAAUCUUUAUAUAAGAUAAAUUUUAAGUAUUUUGAAAAAUUUAGUUAUAAUUUUAUAUGUAUAUUUUAUUGGGGUGAUAUUAAAAUUUAUUGAACUUUUAAUUUUUAAUUUACAUUAGUUAAUGAGUUUAUGAUCCAUAAAUUAUGAUUAAAAAAUUAAGUUACUUUAGGGAUAACAGCGUAAUUUUUUUAGAAAGUUCUUAUUGAUAAAAAAGAUUGCGACCUCGAUGUUGGAUUAAGAUAUAGUUUUAGGUGCAGUUGUUUAAACUUAAAGUCUGUUCGACUUUUAGAUUCUUACAUGAUCUGAGUUCAGACCGGCGUAAGCCAGGUUGGUUUCUAUCUUUAAUGGAGUUAUAUAUUUUAGUACGAAAGGACCAAUUAUAAAAAUUAUUAUAUUUUAAUUAUUGAUAAUAAAUAAUACUAUUUUGGCAGAUUAGUGCAA